rnacentral:rRNA from 1 species
CCUACGGGAGGCAGCAGUAAGGAAUAUUGGACAAUGCUCGCAAGAGUGAUCCAGCCAUGCCGCGUGCAGGAAGAAUGCCCUAUGGGUAGUAAACUGCUUUUGAACUAGAGAAAAUCCCAGUACGUGUACUGGGCUGAUAGUAUAGUUAGAAUAAGCAUCGGCUAACUUCGUGCCAGCAGCCGCGGUAAGACGAAGGAUGCAAGCGUUAUCCGGAUUCAUUGGGUUUAAAGGGAGCGUAGGUGGACUGAUAAGUCAGUGGUGAAAUCUCCGAGCUUAACUCGGAAAUUGCCAUUGAUACUGUUGGUCUUGAGUACAGUUGCUGUGGGCGGAAUAUGACAUGUAGUGGUGAAAUACAUAGAGAUGUCAUAGAACACCGAUUGCGAAGGCAGCUCACAAAGCUGUAACUGACACUGAGGCUCGAAAGUGCGGGGAUCAAACAGGAUUAGAUACCCUGGUAGUCCGCACCGUAAACGAUGAUUACUCGCUGCUAGGGGGCAACCUUUAGUGGCUUAGCGAAAGCGAUAAGUAAUCCACCUGGGGAGUACGCCGGCAACGGUGAAACGUCAAAGUAGAGUUAGGACGGNGNGAGNGNGCGACGGACGACGAGAGGGAGGAG